GCCCCGCCCCGCGGCCGGCCAGGGUUCUCCCGGCGCCCGCCCCCGCGCGCCCUGCGCCUCCAGCCCUCGCUCCCCGCCCUCCAGGCUGCCAGGCCCUUCGCGAACAUGGCGCUUGUCCCGUGCCAGGUGCUGCGGGUGGCGAUCCUGCUGUCCUACUGCUCUAUCCUGUGUAACUACAAGGCCAUCGAAAUGCCCUCGCAUCAGACCUACGGCGGGAGCUGGAAAUUCCUGACGUUCAUUGAUCUGGUCAUCCAGGCUGUCUUUUUUGGCAUUUGCGUGCUGACUGAUCUUUCCAGUCUCCUGACUAGAGGAAGUGGGAACCAAGAACAAGAAAGGCAGCUCAAGAAGCUCAUCUCGCUCCGGGACUGGAUGUUAGCUGUCCUGGCCUUUCCUGUUGGGGUUUUCGUGGUAGCGGUCUUCUGGAUCAUUUAUGCCUAUGACAGAGAGAUGAUUUACCCGAAGUUGCUUGAUAAUUUUAUCCCAGGGUGGCUGAAUCACGGAAUGUUUUUGAAGUGUUUUCACACCGUAUGUUGAUGACCACAACUGAGGGAAAUCAUGAAGCCACUUCCAGCACACAACAGUUUUGCCCUUUAUAUUAAUCGAGAUGAGGACAUCACACCAUGCGUAUCCCAGCAGGAGCAGUGGACUCGCCGCCAUAUGUACCUUCUCUGUUGGCUAUAUAUUAUGAAUUCCAAGUCCUCUUUGAUAUAUCAGUACACACAGAAGAGGUUCCUCCCACCAACAUUUCUGCCUCUUGGGACUCUCUUGUCCUGAGUUCUGGGUCACCAUCCCCUCCUUUAAGCCUGAAGGACUGAAUCACAUUCUUCCAAACACCCCAGAACUGUACGUAAUCCCUCCAAAAUCCCGGAGCUCUUUGGGAGGCCCAGGCUCUGUGGAGUGUUUUGCUCUAGCCAGCCCAGAAAUACAAGAUAAAGGUCAGUACAGUACUUCACAUACUUUGCAAUGAAUGAUCACACAAUGCUCCAGAUCUGACCAGAAAGGAAAUUUGUUUCUAGGAAGUCAUACCCUGUAGCUGGAUCUAAGGGGACACCCAGAUGAAAGACCCCAGAACAAACAUGCAGUAAUGCUCAUUCUAUCUGCCAUUUCAUCGACUAGUCAAAGACCAUCGUAAAGACUGGGCAAUGUUGGUUUUCCUUGUCACUUUCAAGAUUUUUUUGUUUCCACCUCAAACGUUAAGUAUUGAUUUUCUCUAAUAGAAAAGCUCCAAAUGAUCAGAGCUCACAGGUGAAAUGUGACUGAAAUUAUGUCUCAAAAAUGAAUAUAUGUACUUUAUAUAUAUGAACUUGAUAUUCAAAUGACUCUUACCUUUCAGAAGAGUCAUGUAGGGAGUCUAGGAAUUAUUCCAGGGAUGCAUUCAUCUUAAAAUAAAAAAUCAUUAAAAAUUAAAUCCCCCUUUCCCCAAAAAAUAUAGUCUCAUUACUUUGUGCUCAUAUUUGCUUACCUGUGGGAAGGGAAGCUUUUUACUCUGAGAUCUCUGGGUGUAUUUCUGUGAAUUCAUUUCUAUGCCAUUAAAUUAUCUAAAUCUUAUAGAGCCCCAGAGGUUUUGUGAACUAUGUAUUUUCCAAUGGCUUUUCUUCCACUGUGGGUACACUCAGUCCACAUUCCAAAGAGACACAUGGGAAAUACCACAUAGCCUUCAUUAUAGACCCCCAAGAUCCCUCAUUAAAAUGAAUCAUUACUCAUGCUCUUCAUGCCAAGUGAGGCUUGCCAGCUCUGCAUACUCCCUAAGUAAACCAGUACUUGUUUGGACAUGUAUUUGCAUUAACCAGCAAAUUCUCUCAGAUUUGUUCUGAGAGAGAUUUCAAAGUAGACUUUUUCCUUUGGUGUUCUGCCCUAGGUAUUCAUAGCUGUGUCAAGAGCUAAACAAUGCCCCUCACAUCAUGUCAUAGUAUAUAAAUCCAAGGAUUUUCAUUGUCAUCAAAAAGGUACUGGCUUUUGCUUCCUACCAGACUAUCUCAGAGCCGCCUUACUGGUGAUACGAUAGUAAAAAGUUCAGGAUAUGAAAUCUUUUGGUAGCAUACCAAGAUUGUAACUGGACAUUCCAGAACCUCGUGCCAAAAUGGAAGAAAGCAUUCCCCAUAUCAUAUGCUAAUUAUAAAACAAAUAGAUCUCCCCUGCCAUCCCCUGCAUGGUCGAGCUGAAUCCAUACCUCUGCAUCUGCUGGCCAGACAGUCUCUGUUUUGUUCUGAUUCCCACUCACUGUCCAUUCCCACAUGGCUCCCUCCUUAUCUGAACUUAUUGUCUUCCUAGGUUUGAUAGCCAAAGUUGAGACAGCAUACAGAGCUUUCACGCAUAGACUGGAGCCCAUUGAGAUGCCACCCUGAGCGGCUCCAUUUCCCAACCCCUACUUCAGUCCUCCCAAGCUGAGCAUCAGAAGUCAUCCCAGACUCCUUUUCUGCCUCCUUCUGCUUCCCACCAUACUUCUCUCCACUUACCCAGGGUCUGGACACAAACAUCUCCCUGUCCACUUAUGGUGGGCUCUUAAUACCUUUUCUGCAUACCUCCCCUCCAUCAUCAUUCCCCCACACAUUCUCUGCACCCUAGUUGUGGGGUUUCCCCUAAAAAAUGAGAUGACCUGUAUUAUCUUACACAGGAUAAAACACAGAGGUCCUCUUGGUUUCUAAUGCAACAGUAAUUAACAGGAAUUGUAAUGAAUACCAUUCUUUUGAAUUCUGUGCCAAGUGCUUUUCAAAUAUUAUGUUAUUUAGUUCCCCAGAUAACCCUUUGAGAUAGGCAUUAUCUAGCCUAUUUUACAGAUAAGGAAAAUAAAACUUAGAGAGUAUAUGACUUGCCCAAGGAAAAGCCACGUGUCCUUGUUGUUGCCAGAUCUGGAAUGCAAGCCCUGGUGUGGCCACAGUCUGUACAAUUCACUGUGCUCUCCACUGCCUUCUUCUUGGUGAAGAGUACUUCUGUGGGUGAACAGAUUAAGUGUGUGUUUAGUUUUGGUUUUGUUUUGAAGCAAUACAUCAGAAGCAGCAUGUCUAAUAGUUAAGGCCACUUCCUGGGUUAGAAUUCUGACUCCUUCACUUAACUUUUCUGAGCUCUAACUUACUUGGGUAUAAAAUAGGGACAAGGACCUCACGGGGCAGUUGUGAGAAUGCAGUUACUGUAUAUAGAACCCAUAGAACAAUGCCUGGCACACAGUAAAAAAUUUUUAUAUUUUCUUUUAUUGAUGGUGGUAGUAGUAGUAGUAGUAAUGUUAGUAUUAGUAGUUCUAUACAUACUGUUCUGAAGACAACACAUAGUAGCAGAGCACGUACUCUUUUCUUAUCAAAGGUUUGAGAAUUUUAGUUACAAUGCUGUAAGCCUUUUGCUUUUACUUUUACUCUUCACUCUUUCACUCACUCAUACACUCAUCACUUUAAAAGCCCAAAAUAGCCCUAAAGGAUAUGAAAAUAUCACUUUUGUUUGCUUUUUAAGUUUAAAAGUACCAUCAGGAAUUCUUGAAGGGGGAUUGAGUAAAACAGAGCUUUAAGAUCAUGGAAUGUUAUAUGCAACUAAUGAAUCAUUGAACAUUAUAUCAAAAACUAAUGAUGUACUAUAUGUUAGAUAAUUGAAUUUAAAUUAAAAAAAAAUCAUGGAAUGUUGACUGCUGUCACCCUCUAGUUGACAAAUUCUGUAAAAGAAGAUAUCCUUACUCUACCUAUGCAGGACUCCUCCUGGUAGCCAAUCUGUUCCUUGGCUGUGGCCCCCCAGCACCUCACAUCUUUGUCUCCCUGUAUAGUACUGGUACUGCUUACUGCUUUGCCUCUCAAUCUGAAGGACAUAGAUAGAGGAAAACCACCCCAGAUCUAGGAAAUGUAUAUCCCCAAAGGUUCAGCAGUGGGUCUUCUCUAUCCUGAGAAGGUUUCUUCCAGCCCCUGUCCAUUCCCCCCUCCCACAGUGGUUCUUAUUCAGUAGAGCCCACAUGAGAUCUCAGAGCCCAUGCAUAAUACAUGCUAACACUAAAUACAAGGCACAGACAGGAGUAAGGAGGCAUUAGGGAAGGGGAGAAAAUGAGUCAUAGGAGUUUCUUCUUAUGGAUAAACAAGUCUUUUCACUACAGUGAGUUUAUUUAAAGCAGAAGAGAGAUUUCUGUUGUCUCUGGGCCCUAAUGGUUUUUGAUACAUUUCGUAUUCCAAAUCUCUUAACCCCAAAUGUGUCCAUUGUGCAACUUCUCAAAACAGAAAAUAAAACAGUAAAAUCAAGAUGAAGUGCAAUCUUUCUUUCAUGGUAUAGUCUUAAACUUCUCUAAAUCAGAGUUCUAUCUCCACCAAACUUGAUUAUAAAUUAGCUAUGCAAUUGCAGAUUAUUUUUUUUGCUUUCUUAUUGAAACUUUUCUUUAUUUCCUCAAGUUUGUGCUGGAAACAAACAUUGUUUCUUAAAACACAAGAAAAAAAUCUUAAAAAUAAGAUUGUACUCAAAUUUAAGUCUUGGAAAGAAUUUUUAGCCAUGAACAAGUAAAAUUUUUAGCAUAAAAUUUACACCCUCUUCACUAAAAAAAGGGAAAUUUUAGACCACAUGUAAAGUCCCCCUACUUAAUUGUAUGCUUCUGCCACCAGUUAAGCAAAACUGGCCAACAUGCUGUUGUUCUCUGACCAGCAGAUGACAUUUUCCUCUGUUCAACUUGAACCUUUCACUCUAUCAUAACUGCCUAUGCUGAUAACUUUUACAUCUGUAACAGUGCGUGAAAGUUUUCCUGAUUUCCUGGCAGUGGAGAACAGGGACCAAGUUGAAAGAGUAAUGCGGUAUAUGCCUCACAUUCUGAAGAGAGGUGCCUUUUUGGGGGCUUAUAAAAGACAGCCCAAACACUCUGUUCCCUUACGCAUGACCAAAGCCAUCCACACUUUGCCAUGCCCAUCUUCCUAACCUUCUUUCCUCAGCCUGGCUAGGAAGAAGGAGAGGGUCUUUGCAGUCUUGAAUUGGGGUCUAGGGGAACCACUGGGGAAGGAAGUGCCUCCCCACAUUCACCAAAGCCAAGUAUAAGAGGCUCCAAGAGAAUCCUUGGUAAAUAUCAGGUAUAAGACAGGAAUCUAACUUAGGAAGAGACUUAACUUUUAUUUGCCUCCUGCCUGAGCAAGGAAAAGAGCAUUGGACGGGUAUGACAGGGUGGAGGGAGGGGCAGCUGUAGGGCAGACUAUGACCACAUCAUUUGUAUGUGGCAAAGAUGGGUGAGUUUCUUGUGGAUCUGGUUUGACAUUGAGGUAGAGCACUGGGCUCAGGGCUGUCUUAAUGGUGGCCCACCCAAGAAGGCCAGCCCCUGGGCAAGGGUUUCCAAACAGCAAGAGAUUGUAGCAUACUGCCAUGAGCAGGAGCCAGUCCGUCUCCCACAUAUGGAACCUCUGAAGUAGAGAAGCCCUUCAGAGAUCCCUACAAACCUCACACAUAUGCACCGCAUGCAAAAGUAGGCAUCUAAACAUCAGCCUCAUAACAUUUAUCAGUGGAGAGUAGGUAUUAGCAGAGGAAAAGGAGAAACCACUUGCACAGCCAUGGGCAGUGAAGUCCGGAGAUAUUCAUCUUCCUCCCAUUUCCCCUCCCAGAUCCCCGGCCAGGAUAGAGACAUCCCAGAACCAGGCUAUGCCCUCCCAUUCUACUUCAAGGUACUGGAGGAGGAGGCAGAACAAAAAUACAGAGCCCCCUCCCACUCAAGACUCCAGCAAUAAUCCUGGUGUGUUCAAUGCAGGCAGAAGGCCCAGGUGUUGGAGCUGAGCAAGGGGAGAGUGACCAGAGACCCCUGGAGUGGAGGAAGGAUUAUGUAGGCCUCGUAGGGUAUAUAAAGACUGUGUCCUUAGUUCAUACUGAAAUCAAGAGUUAUUGGAAGGUUUUGAACAGAAAACUGACAUAAUCUGAGACAUUUUUAAAGGAUCACUUUGGCUACUAUGUUGAGAAUGGACUGGAGGCAAGGAUGGAGCAGGAGAACAAUUACAAGGCUAUAGAAGUAAUCCCUUCUGGUAGGCAGUGGUAUGGCUUGGACCAAGGUGGUAGAAAUGGCAGUGUGAGAACUAGAAGGAUUCUGGAUAUAUUUUGAAGAUAGAGCCAAUAGGAUUUCCUACUUAAUUUUGACCAAAUGUGAUUACAGUAAAGACCUUGGGGUGGGGAGGUUAGCCUGCAUUAUCCAAGUGGGCCCAAGCUGAUCAUCUGGUUUCCCCAAUGUGGUUAGAGGGGAGCGGGACUGUGAGAAAGGGGUUGGCUGGAUAUUACAGGAAAAGGACCCAAACCAUUGCUGCCAGCUUUAAAGACAGUGGAAGGGAACGAUGAGCCAAAUAAUGUGGGCUGCUUCUAGCAGCUAGAGAAGUCAAGGAGACAGAUCCAGAAAGAACACAGCCCUGCCAACAUCUUGACUAUAGCCCCCUGAGUUGGACUUCUAACCUACAGAAUUGUAAGAUAAAUGUGUGUUGCUUUCAGCCACAACGUUUGUAGCAAUGCAUUAUAGCAGCAGUAGAAUACUUACACACUUGGGCAAAUCACUUAGUCUCUGUUGGCCUCAAUUUCCACAUCUGAAAAAAAAAAGGGUCAUGAUACUUAGGAAGGAUUACUGUGAGAAUCAGAAAAAUGGGUGUAGGGGCUUCUGGGUGGCUCAGUCGGUUAAGCGUCCGACUCUUGAUUUCUGUUCAGGUCACGAUCUUAGGGUGGUGAGAUCCAGCCCUGUUAUCAGGCUCCACGCUGAACGUGGUGCCUGCUUAAGAUUCUUAAGAUUCUCUCUCUCCCUCUGCCACUCCCCCCAUCCCCAUGCUCUCUCUCUCUUAAAAAAAAAGGGGGGGGGGAGAAAGAAAGAAAAAUGUGUGUAAAACACCUGCCACAUAAUUGGCAUGUAGUCCUGUAGCCAUUGUUGUUCUGUUUAUAUGCUAAGAAUACUCAGACAUAAAGUAACCUAACCCCAGCCCCUUUCUCCAUGUUUCUUCCCUCAUUAACCUCUUGUGCCUGUUCUGGGAGGUGGAGGUUCAGAUCCUUGAAGUCACACCAUCUUUUGUUCAGUUCCCUCUCCUUGGUUUGAGCAGAUCACUUAUCCUCUCUGAGCCUAAUUUUUACCACCUUUAAAAAGGGAGUAACGCCCAGUGCUCCAUGCAGAACGUGCCCUCUUUAAUACCCAUCACCAGGCACUGGGUGUUAUACACAAACAAUGAAUCAUGGAACACUACAUGAAAAACUAAUGAUGUAAUGUAUGGUGAUUAACAUAACAUAAUAAUAAAAAUAAAAUAAAUAAAAAAGGAGUAACGCUUGCACCACAGAAUUGCUGUGAGGACUAACAAGCACAUGGGGCCCUUGGGAAAUGAUCGUGUCUUUCCUUCCUCCCACCACAAAAAUCCUGACUGUCUGAGGAGUAUAUGGGAAAGUCCCAUUUCUUUCUCUCCCUUGUCCCCACAACCCUUAUUUUCAUUUUAUCCUCUGCUCUUCUUAUGGAUUCUGGUCCUGCUUCAUGGGCUUUUUGUCCCCUCACAACCUAUUAAGAAUGCUAAAGAAUUUUCUGAAAAUUUCUUACAGUUCGAACAUUAAGUUAUUUCCCAAGCUCUGCUUUUCCCCUGAGAGCCAAGAAUGUCAUUGCUUUCCCAUUAUUCCGAUCUGCUUAUUUUUACAAACACGUUGUUGAGAUGAGUUGUUGUUUUCUCAUCUUCUGGACAAUGGAGGGCUUGCCAACUGAGAGUAUGGCUUGCACUCAGCCCCUCAGAGUGCCCACUUGGGUGUUGAUUAAAUCAGUUUCUUAGAUCUGCAUCUGGACAAAAAAGGCUUGGGUGUAUAAUCCAUCUCAGUUCCCAGUAUUUAUUAUUCUGAGUUUCGUCUUCUCCUACCCCCAACAGCUGGUUCUCAGACUUGCUGGGAGCACAUAAAGAACUAGAAUUCCCCAUAUGCUGUUAACCAUGCCCCCUGCCCCAAAAUCAUCUUCUAUGUGGUUAUGACCCCACACUUCCCAGCACAACAUCCAUACCAACAUGACCACUUCUUUUCCCUGUAGUCUUCUGGAAUCACCAGUUUGAUGCUGCUUGUGUCCUUGAUGUUACUUUGCAAUUUUACUUUGCAUUUCCUCCACCAGCUCUGCCAGUCCUGCCUCCGCUUCCAGCUCACACUCCCUAGUCCUCUCUCAGCUGAUGGCCUGACCUUGUAUUUCACAGAGACUCUAAAAGACUUUAAACAGGAAUUCUUUCCAUUUCUUCCUGUACACAUUCUUACUGUACCCACUCCCUUCUUAUGACAAUAGGGGAGGAAUUUCUAUACCUUCCAACAGGGCACCAUCCCUCUACUCUGGCUCCUCCCUGCUCCAGCUCUUCAUCCAUCAUCAUUCCAUUCUCCUGGAACUUCAGUCCCACUGACAGGUCCUUCCAAUAAAUACUAGAACACUCUCCAUCUUAAUUCCACCUUAAACACAAAUUACCCUUCUGGAACCACCCCUUUUUACAUCUAGCUACUGCACUGUCUCCCUACUCACAGCCGAGCUUCUCUGCAGGGUUGUCUACCUUGCCUCUAGUCCUGUUUGCACAUUUAAGAGACAGGACUAAAAAAAUGACUCGUGAGCCAAUGAGCUUGGGUUCUUCUUCUACAAUAUGACUUUGGGCAAGUCACGCCACCUCUCUCUGUGCCUUCACUUCCUCAUCUGUAGAAUGACGUAAUAAGAGCACCUGCCUCAUGGGGUUGUUGUGAUGAUUAACAUAGCAUUAAUCUUUAGUGGAUGUAAAGCCUGAGCCCGGAGUGUGUACUGUUAUCAUUAUGAACACACUCCAAUGGGAGUUAAGCUGCAUUACUUUAGCAAACCUUCGUUGAUGUUACCAGUGACUUCUACUUUGCUGAAGUCAUUGAAUGCUUUGUAGACCUCUCCUCCAUUGAUAUUUCAGCAGUUUUGAUACUAAAUUAGCCCCUUCCUAAAUCACUGUCUUCUCAGACUUGGAUGAUGUCACAAUCUCCCAAUUUCCCUCCCCGUUCUCAAAAUGAUCCCUCAUAGCAUCAUCUGCAGGCUCUUCCCACUCUACCCAAACCCCCAUGCUGGAGUACUUUGGAGCCCAGCCCUCGGUCUUCUUCUUUUUUUAUUUAUUAACUUUUUAAAUUUUAUUGUGGUGAGAAUACUCAACUCGGGACCCGCCUUCUUAACCGAGGUCCUCUUCUCUUACUACCUACUAUCCCUAAGUAAAUCCAUCAGCUCUGUGUUUGAAAUUUCUUCCAUCCCAGAUCCUCAGCUCAGUGCUCUCUGCUGAUACUUACUCAUAAGCUUCUCAUGCUUGCAACUGCACACCAAGCUCAAGCAGUAGCUGCUUUCCCAACUGUACCCCAAGCCUGUAUUCCCUGGGCAUUGCCAUCCACCCAGGUGUUCAUGCCAGAAAUCUAUGGGACACCCACAACCCAUCUUUCUGGAGCAUUUUACAGACAGUCUUUCACCAAUUUCUGGCUUCUAUACUUCCAAGUACUUGAAGAAUCUUUGCCCUUUGCUCCCUCUCCACUGCCAACACCAUGCCCCAGCUUCUGUUAUCCCUCUCCUAAACCACACAGAGAACUGGCAUUCUCCCCCCCAACCACCCCUGUCUAUCUGCCGGAUCCUUGGGUGAUACUUUAAAAGCACACUGACCAUGUCACUCCCUUGCUCAGAAAGUAUGGGUGACUUCCCAUUGCUUCUAGGAAUAAAGUCCAAAGUUUCUUUGCAUGGCUUCAAGGACCUGCAUCAUUUGCCCCACUGACCUCUCUAGCCUCCUUGUCCUCCUUUGCCCUCUUUGCUUGCUAGCUCCAGCCACACUGACCUUCUCUCUAAUGGUUAAAAGCAAUCUGUUUCUUCUAAGUUCAAAGCUUUCACCUUCCUCAUACCUCCACCCAACCUCCCCUCAGUCAUGCCCCCACAAUUAUUAAUUCCAAACUCGAUUCAUUCUUCAGUUCUCAACUCAACUAUCUCUUUCUCAGGGAGGCCUUCUCUGGCUCCCAAGACUUGGUUCAGGCUCUCUAUAAUACACUACUGCAGUGCCCUGUUCAUUUCCAUCUAAGGAGUUAAAAAGCAGUUGUUGUUGUUGUUUUUUAAAUUUUAUUUUAUUAUGUUACGUUAAUCACCAUAUAUUACAUCAUUAGUUUUUGAUGUAGUGUUCCAUGAUUCAUUGUUUGUGCAUAACACCCAGUGCUCCAUGCAGGACGUGCCCUCCUCAAUACCCACUACUAGGCCAACCCAUCCUCCCAACCCCCUCCCCACCAGAACCCUCAGUUUGUUUUCCAGAGUCCAUCAUCUCUCAUGGUUCGUCUACCCCUCCGAUUUCCCCCCCUUCAUUUUUCCCUUCCUACCAUCUUCUUAUUUUUAACAUAUAAUGUAUUAUUUGUUUUAGAGGUACAGGUCAGAGCAGUUGUUGUUAUGUGGUUAUUUGGUUGAUUUUUUUUUCAAAGCCUGCCCCCCAGACCCUCUCCCUUCACUAUCUAGAGCAAGAGAAAGGUCAGCAGUUGAAUUGGUCUUAAAGAAAAUAAAGAGAGCUUUCUUAUCUACAGUUGUCUAAGGGUUAAUACAAACACAUUUCCUUUUGACAUCAUAUCAAUCAAAAUGUCAGAAAAUAUUCUUAAGAUAGAUUGCUUAAUAAGAGAAACUGUGACAGUGUAUGAGUUUUAAAAGCAAGCAGAUAAAGUAGGGAAAAUUUAAAUUAUAUAUAUACAUACACACACACCUACCUUACACUUAGCUCAAUGGUAACCAUAUAAAGUAGUUUACAAUGUUCCUACCACCCAUUUCUCUAAUAUUGAAUUUCAGCUUGUCUCUUCUCCCACCUGCUUGGUUCACUUAAAUUGCCAACUGAAGCUGAUAGACUUCUAGAAAGAACCACACAGACUGCACUCCUUGCCAGAGUGGCAUUCCAUGUAUGGGAGGUGAUCCAGGUCAUGAAAUAAAAACAUUUCAAGUAGAGGAAAGAUCCAUUUAUUAGCCAAAUUAUAGCCUGUUCAUUUCCCUGAAGUGAGCCUUCUCUGUGUCUUUGAGAGUAUGGAAGCAUUUUGAAGGUUCAGAACAUGUUCUCUGGUGGCUGCAGGAGGGGAUUAUAUGCACAUCUUCACAGUGACUAUUAGCCUGCUCAGUCUCACCUUCAGCAGAAGGUUUCCACAGCCUGCAGACAUUUGUGUCUCCCACAGCACCCAGCAUUGUUGGUUUCCCCUGAGGCACAAAAUAAACAUUGAUUGAAAAUAAACAAUUCAGAUGAGGACAUAUUUAUACAAGAUUUGAGGGUGUUUUUAAAAGAUUUAUUUAUUUAUUUUUAGAGAGAGAGAGCAUGAAUGAGUGCACAUGGGGAGGGGAUGGGAGGGCAAAUGAAGAGGGAGAGAGAGUCUUAAGUGACAUGGGGCUCAAUCCCACAACCCCUGAGAUCAUGCCCUGAGCAGGAACCAAGAGUCAGAUGCCUAACCGACCGCACCACCCAGGCGCCCCAGUACCAGAUUUGAUGGUUUAUGCCAUAAGAGCGAAAAGAAAUCUGCAGCCAAAAUGACCUUUGAUUGAGAUAUAAAGGAAAUGGCAAAAGAAAAUUAGUCUAAAAUAACCACGUAAAACUUUGGCUUUAUACAUUUAAGUAGACCCAUUUUCCUAGUAAUUUUCAAAGACAAUGAACUAGUUUGAUUGUUAUUAUAACAUUUUAAUUCUCCCUUAAUCUGAAAGAUUGGGUCAAUGUAGACUCAGGACAAGAUUCAUUAACUCUCUCAAAUAAGUGUUUGUGUCCCUGCCAUGUGUCAGGCAUCGUGCUAGGUACAGGUGGUAAACAAUGUAUUAAGCUUCAGCUCUGCCCUCAAGGAGCUGACAGUCUAUUGUAGGAUACAGAAAAAUAAAAAAGUAAUUACCUUACAGUUGAUAUGGGCUGUUUAUAAUAGUAGAAAUACAGAAGGCUCUGAAAUUCCAGAGGAACUUUCCCUAACCCAGACUCAUAGGGUCAAGAAAGGCCUCCAAAAGAAGUGACAUGGGAGCUGGCCCUUGAGGGUGAGUAAGUGUUAGCCAUACAAAGGGCCAAGGUAAAAGUGUGUCAGGCAGAGAAAGGAGAUGGCCUGGAAGCAAGAGGGCAAAUCACAGGCAAAGAAGUUCAGUGCACUUGGAGCUGUCCACAUCUUGCCCUCCUCCAGUCAGAAUGAGCUCAAUUCUACCUUUCCUCUUCCCACCAGAACUACUUUUAUUUUACCUCUCUACAACAUCUUUCUCUGAAUCUGUUUUGUGUGUGUUCCUUUGAUUGAUUGGUUGGUUGGUUGGUUGGUUGGUUGGUUGGUUGGUUGGUUUGCCCAUUUCCCAUGAUGCCAUGCUCUGUCUGGUAUCCUCCUCAUGUUCUCCUUGGCAGGCCCUGGUGAUCUAACCCUGCCCACACUCAAACCCUCUUCACUCCCUUUCUCACACUGUCUCCUGUCCCCUCUCCACCUCAUGGGCACAGUGUUUUAAAAUGCAAAUCUGAUCAUGUCAAUCUUCCUACUUACAACCCUUCAAUAGUUUGUUUUUUCCUGUCUGGGGUUCUUUUUUUUCUUUUUGGGUAGCACUUUUAUUUUUCCUUAUGCCAUGACGUAUCCUUGGGCUGUGAUAGUCUCACGUAACAGUAGAAAAAAAAGAUGUGUAAGUCAUCCUUAAAAGCUGAGAAAUACACACAAAAAUCUUACAUAAAUUAAGACAAUGCAUAAAUUUACAGGUACAAAUACACAAAUUGUUUUGCAACUAUAAUGAGUUGUUUAAGCCCUGUGCUCUUCUGCUGAAAACACAUUGGAUGAGAAGGAAAAUGGAGUUUGAAGGCUUGGAUUAGCUGUAUUUCCUAGCUCUGCUGGAAGACUGCAAGAAAGAAGUGACAGUUCAUUCAUAAAGUCUUGCCAGCCUCUUGAGAAAUCCAGGAAUUGCCAUUAGUACUAUGUGUAGCUCCAGUCAGGCCCCAGAAGAGCUAACAGCUCACAUGAAAUUGUCAGUCAGCCAAACACCAUCACAUCAGGCCAAGUCCCUUCCAUAAACACAUCCCCCUUAAGCUCCCUUUGUCACACAGAAUGCCCAACCGAAUGUAUAAACUUUAAACCAAACAUAUGUAGAGAAUUUCAGAAAACAUAUUAUCAAAAAAUACUAACUUGAGUAUGAUGUUAAAUAGUGCUAUUUGCCUUCCUGUCAGACAAGGACAGGUGUCUUUUUAAGACGGCAUGUUCCAGGUAGAUAAGACUAACGAGAUGUGUCCUCUGCCAGGGCCAACCUGUACGGUGAACUAACUCGUACAGAAAAGUGCUGUGUAUCUGCUAGCAGCCCAUUUAAAGGCAUUUGCAAUGGCCAACAGGCCAAACUCACUGGAAUUCUACCUGCUCAUCCACAUCUGCUGGGAGGUCAAAGGGGUAGCCAGAUGCUAUAAUUGCAAUCAGAGGACUGGUAAUCUUAAUUUUACUGUAGUUGGCUCCGGGGCUGUGACAUCUGCAUUCUAAAGUCAGCCACACUGGCCUACUUGGUAAUACCACCACCACGUGCUACACAUCGUAUUGGCAUCUAGGCCUUUCCCAAUAUAGCAUCACAUCUUAUGGUUACAUCAGAGGUGUUCUUGUGAAUGCCAUGAUUCCAUGCCUAGGAAGGGUGGCUAGCAAGAGCUUCUGGGUCUAAGACCCUCUCCCUCCAGAGGGAAAUGAGCUGGCCUCAGGGAGCUUAGUUCUGUUCUCCAGAGAGGGCGAUGAGCAGCGGUACCUCCUGUUGGACAUCCAGGAUAAGGUGGUACUACUUCCCCUGAUGCCAUGUACCAUUUCUUUCUCUUCUGUGAUAGUGCCGUUAUGACAUCUUUUUCUCACAACCGUUAGAAAUAUUCGUCCAAGUCUCAGCUAGCUGGGUUCAGAAAUAAGCUAACAGGGACCAGGUGUAACCCUCAUAAAUGGGCAUUGUGUGGGUGACAGGGGACACCAUUACCCAAGUCUGUACACCCACCUGUGUAUGACCAGAGGCUAUACGGUGACGGCACAGUCAGAAUAGCAACAUGCACAGCUGGGCUACGGGAGAUGUCAAAUAGGAUCUGUGACAGAAGGCCUUGAAGCUCAAGGGAGCUUCACUGAAGAAGAACAUGGUGUUUCUCAGGGGCUACAGGAAUCACUGCCAAAGGUGCAGUGUCACAUUCCCCACCCCACCCAGUAGGAAGAGAGCCACAUUCAAUAGCAUUCUUUGAUGGCAGACACCUCUCUUGUCUGGGUUCACCAUCCAUAUGAUUCUCCCUCUGUCCCAUACCUACCAUGACAUCCUGUUGUUUUGAGCAAUAAAUAACAGAAAGCAACCAGGCACACUGAUUAUCAUCCUUAGCAGAGAAGACAUCUUUGCUCAUGCCUGAGCCACUAUUGAGGGAAAGAACAGUGACUUCUCCAUUCUUCUUGAUACUUUGAUUUCCUGCCUACACAGAUGAAAAAGAACUGGCCUUGAAGAAGAGACAGCAUCUGGAGAGCUUUUCAGUCCUGAAACACUUAGUGGCCUCAGAGGCCCUGUAUAAUUUCACCCCUGCCUAACUAUGCCACCUCAUCUCCUGCCCUUGCUUGCUCGCCCUCUACCCUUCAGUCGUACUUGACUUCUUUCCAUCCUGACACACCACGUUCUCUCAUGCCUCAAGACAUUCACACCAUGUCCUUCCCUCACCUGUCACUCUAUUGUCUGGCUUUCCUUCCAAUGGCAAAGUUUUGAGGGUAGGAGUUAUGCCUCUUGUGUUCAUUGCAAUAUCCCCAUCUCCUAGCAAAAUGUUUGGCUCAAAGCAUGUGUUAAACACAAAAAUGAAUGAAUAAGAAGAGACUGUAAGCAAACAUUAAUGUUUGGUGACAACAAGCUGGGUGAGUUGUUAUCUCUUGGCUUCUAUUGUCUUUGUCACAUGAAAGCGUUUUUUGGUUUGCUUGUUUUGCUUUUUUUAAGAGGGACUGAUACAAUAAACCCUACUACCCAUCACCUAACUUCAGUAAUUAUCAAUAUAUUGCCAAACUUGUUUCAUCUGCACCUGUAACUUGUUGGAUUUUUGUAGACAUAAAAUUUACAUACAAUCCAGUGGUUUUAAGAAUAUUCAUGAGGCUGUACAACCAUCACUAUUAUUAAUUCCAGAACAUUUUUAUCAACCCCAAAAGAAUCCCUGUACCUUUUAAGCAGUCACUCCCUACUCUCCCCUCCCUCCAGCCUCUAGAAAUGACUACUCUACUUUCUGUCUAUAUGGAUUUGCCUCUUCUGGAUAUUUCAUAUAAAUGAAACCAUACAAUAUGUGGCCUUUUGUGUCUGGCUUUUUUUGCUCAGCAUGAUGUUUUUAAGAUUCAUCCAUGUUGUAGCAUGUAUUAGCACUACAUUCCUUUUUAUAACCAAAUAACAUUCCAUUGUAUAGAUAAAGUACAAUUGGUUUAUCCAUUCAUCAAUUGAUGGACAUUUUGGGGUUGUUUCCAGCUUUUCGGCUAAAGAUGGAAGUGUGGAUGUAUAGUUAAAGGGAGAAAGAGCUUAGAGGGAAGUGUAAAGAUUUUGGGGCACAGGGAAGCCUGGUUAGAUUUGAUAUCACAAAAUAAUGCUGCACUAUCAUAAAAUUUUAUGGCACACAAAUCCCUUUGAAGUGAGCUCUGCCUCUUCCUCAGAACUCCAUAUACCAGUUCUACUAAACUUCUUCUAUUUCCUUGAACUUGGUCUCACUCACUCCUUCUCUCUGUGGGGACCAUUUGCUUCCAGGACUUACCUCCACUUACCAUCUAUCUUUGAGUCUCAGAUCAGAUGUCACUUCACCCAGGAAACCAUCCCUGACACUCUGGUUGGUGUUAGGUGCCCCUUUCAAGUAUUCCCAUGGCAUGCCUAAUCACCCCAUCAUAGCACUUACAGCAUUAUUUUGAAACCUCACCCCUGCACCACCACUGGACUAUAAGCUUGUGGGCAGGAACUACUAAGACAUUCUCCAAAUUAUCCCCAACACCUGAGACAGUGCCUGGUGCAUAACUGGGGCCCAGUAAAUUUUGAAGGGAUAAAUGAAUGAAUGAUGAAUACUUUCAAAACCAUGAAUCCAUGAGGGUCAAAGAUGGUAAGAACUAGGGCAGGACAGUAAUGUGGAUGUCUUUCCAACACAAUGGCCAUUGCAACUCUUUCCAGAUGAAUUUCACACCUUUAAAAAUAAAGGAGAAUUGGAGUAUUUGUCAAAACAUAUAUAUUUGUAGUUCUGAACAAGUUUCCCGUCAAAGUUAAAAAUAAAUUUUUCAGAAAUAUUAGCUUAUCAAUUCUCCCACUUUCUUUCUUUGUCCACAUUUGCUGUUCCAUUCUUGAAUGAAGAUUUCUAGAGCAAAAUUGGAAAGUGGCACUCAGGUGACCACAGAUAGAAAGAAUAGAGUACUAACCAGGAUCUCAAAUACAGUCUAGUAUUAGAGAUAACCUCUUAAUUGAUAUUGAAGAGGAUUAAAGUGGUUUUCCAAAAGAAAGAAAACUAUUAGUAAUAUGCCUGCCCCAUUACCAUCAAUUUUGUCAACUUAAUUUUUUAUUCCAUUUUGUUAACUCAAUUAAAAUUUUGGCUGUGUAUACUCCCCAAAAUUAUUAAAUUAUGAAAAAUCUGGAUUUUAAUUGCAUAUUGGGUUAAUAGGGAUAUUGCCUGAAUGUGACCAAAUAAAUCCUUCUGUAAAAUAACCACACAGAAAAUACAGCUAUAUUUAAAACAUUGUAUGCUCCAAGCCUCUGAAUGAAUUUUCCUCUGAGGAAAGCACUGUGUAGAGGAAGAAAUAUCUGACACAUACAAAUUAAGUGAGGUUGAUCUAUUGAAAUGUAGCUGGCAACAGUCCAGCUUUUUAGUUUGCUUUUAAUAGUUUAUUUCUAAGUGCAUCCAUCUUUAAACUAACUAUAUAGCUUGUUUUUACAAGAAACAAAUAGUGGGAGAUGGCCCUAAAUUGGUUCUUGCUUUGCAAUCCAAAAUAUAUCUUAAUGCAAGUUCCCCUGUGCUUAUCUAAUAAUGAGGUUGGACAAGAAUAAUGCUGCCUUGGAUUGCAAUGUUGAAGGCAUUCAUUAAAGUUAAUAAUCAGUGCUCUUGCAUAGAAGCUUUAUGCCUAACAUUGAUCGGCUCUUUGUUGUAUGGAGUUUGCUUGCAUUCAAGUAGCAAGAAGCUCACCACAAAGGCCAUCAGGUAGGUUUCCAUGGUAGCAGUCCUUCUUUUGUUAUUCUCGUUGUAACAUAGACAGUAUCCAAAUACUCACUGUGUCACUGCUUAAUGAAAAGAAAUAGAAUAUUAAUAAUGCCAGUAUAGUCAGGAAACUGGUCUUUGGGUGCCACAAUGAGUGAGGGCAUGCUGUCUCCUCAGGUUUUCUUUUAAGGAGCCAUCCACCAAGUGAGACUGGUGUCCCUUUGAUCUCAUUACAUUAUGUCCUAUUAAUGACCUUCCGUGGUCUCAUAUUAUAUCCUAGGGACAAAUAGAAUUAAAUGAUAGAAUCAUUUCAUCAGUGCUGAACCCAACAAAAUACAAGUUUGCAAUUGUACACUAAUAAGAGUGCAAUGUAAAACUAUAGAAGAAAAACAUCAACUUCUUAAAAUAUAAAGGAUAACAUUAAAAAAUGAAAAUAGUUUUGGAUUUUGUUGUGUUUGUGUAUGUGUUCAUUUUUCUUAGUGACUCAACACCUGGAUUUCUCAUUGUCUUUGUUGUUUAAAGCAAAUGCAUUCUGGUAAGUGUUACUUUCCUUUGGUUGUGACUCAAUUAUUUGAGUCCAUAACAGCACGUGGGAGCUUUAUUACGCAGCCCUGUCUUGUUCUAACAGAGAUCACCAGAGAAGUCACCUGGUAUGCAGUCGUUCAAAUAAAGAGAAGAAUUUACUAAGGCUUCGUGUUGUCUUCUAUUCAUCUCUGCAAAAACAUCAUUUCUGCCACUUACUCAGGAGAGAGUAAAAAGUGUAACUCUAAUUUAAUUUAAUUUAAUUCAAUUUUCUCCUUCCCCUAGGCUAGGAGAUCUGAAAACAUUUAUGAACUGGUAGGAUUUUAAUACUUCAGUUUUAGCUACUUUAAUUUAUGAGAUUUCCACAGGGCAUUGUAUCCCUAGUUGUUUUAGCCUUCAUUAUAAAUGACCUAAGUAGGUUUAACAUGCAUGGAGGUAUGUAAAAUCUCUACCAUAUAUUAAAUACAUUUUAAAAUACUUUAAAAAGAAAACCUCAAUGAGAUGGAGAACAGGAAUUAAUAAGGAAUUAGAUAUGAAUUUGGCCAGUGAUGCAGAAAUGGAAAGGACCCAGGAUUAAGAUGGAAAGGGAGAGGUUCAAGGUCACCAGGACUAGAAACUACUGACCAAGAAGAGGGAAUACAGUAGAAUGUUGUGAGCAGGAAGGAGUGGAAGCAGAGCCUCUGGAGCCAGACCAGAGGGAGGGCCAACCUGAAAGAACUGUGCAAAGCACCACUAUUUUCCCAUUUUAUAAAUUAGCAAAAAUUAACAUUUUUGCCUCUGUUUAAUGAAUAUAAAUUUUAAAUUGCCCUGCAUUUUGAGUGCACUCACCAGUGUUGAGAUGCAAAUACUUUCUACUUUUUAUUCUAAACUAUCUUUAUGGAUAUAACCUUUAUUCACUGAUUUAUUUGUACUACAGAUGUAUACAUUAUUCACUCAGUGUUGGUUGUGUUAGCUGAUAGAGACUCAAAGAUGAAUGAGAUCAAUAGUGAAAAGCCAAGAAAAACCCUUGUGUUUUGGAAAAAAGAGUGACAAAAUAAUAAUUGUUAUAUACACCCAGAGCAUUCUCAACAACACAGACCUUCUUGGAAAGGGAAAAGACUUUACCAGAGCUUUACAGAUGUGGGGAAAAGGAAGUUACUCAACUGUAGCCCUCUUGCUACGUUUCCUGUCUCACAGACUAGAGACAGAGGAGAUUUAACCAUAUGAUUAUAGAACUCAUCCCUGUCUCCACACCUCCCACCCCAUCAACAGGGUUCCAGUAUAAUACUAGAUUAACUGAGAGAGUUACAAGACAUGGAUGUUAUUUAAGGAGUUCUUAGGGAAACUCAACGAUAAAAGGGAAAGAAAAACAAAGACACUAAAGGAAAUCAAAACCUCUGGCACUUACGGCUAUAGCAAACAUUAAACACAGCCCAAGUCUUAGACUAACACACUAAAGUUCUAUUUACUUCUGUGUCUACUACCAGAAACAUCAUGUCUGACUUUCAACAGCAACAAAAAAUUACAAAGCAUGAUAAAAGUAAAGAAAAAAUAGAUUCUGAAAAGACAAAGUGAGCAUCAAAAUCAGCUGUGGCACAGAUUUAAUUAUAAUGAGUUUAAAAUAACUAUGAUGAAUAGGUUAAGGGAGCUCGUGAUAAAAGUAGACAACAUAUAAAAACAAUAAAACAUUGGAAGCAGAGCUGAAAACUCUAAGAAAGAAUCAAAAGGAAAUGUUACAAAGACACUGUAACAGAAAUGAAGAACAUCUUUGAUGGAUUCAUAAGUAGACUGGACACAGCCAAGGACAGAAUCAGUGAGCUUGACAAUAUAUCCGUAGAAACUUCUCAAAUUAAAGUGCAAGAGGAAAAAGAAUAAAAAAGAUGAGACAUAAUACCCAAGAACUCUGGAGCAAUUUCAAAUGGUCUAACAUACACAAAAUUGGAAUACCAGAAGAAGAGAGAACAGAGUAGAGGAAAUAUUUUAAGUAAUAAUAGCCAAGAAUUUCCCAAAAUUAAUGACAGACACCAAACCACAGAUCUAGAUCCAGGAAGUUUAGAGAAUAUCAAGCAGGUUAAGUAACAAAAUAUCUACAAAUAUCAAAUGCAAGCUGCAGAAACGUGAAAGAAGCUGAAAUAAGGUUGCAGGAGUGGAGGAGGAUACCUUUUACUUAUAAAACAAUGAGGACAGGAUUUAUGGCAUACUUAUCAUCAGAAAUCACUGCUUUCAAGAAGAAAGUGGGGUGAAAUAUUUCAAGUGUUGAAAGAAAAAAACCUAGAAUUCUACAUCCAGCAAAAUUAUUUUAUAAAGUGAAGGAGGGGUGCCUGGCUGGCUCAAUCAGUGGAGCGUGUGACUGUUGAUCUCAGGGUUGGGUUCAAGCCCCAUGUUGGGCACAUUUUUUUAAUACCAAAUUAAAAUAAUAAUAAUAAUAAUGAUAAUAAUUAAUAAUAAUAAAGUGAAGGAGAAAUAAAGAUUUUUCUGAGGCAAGCAAAAACAGAGAAUUCAUUGCCCACAGAAGUGCCCUAGAAGAAAUGUUAAAACAUGUUCUUAAGAGAGAAAGAAAAUCACAUAGGUCAGAAACAGAUCUACAUAAAGAAAGGGAAAACAUAGAAAAAGGAACAAGUAAAAGCAAAAUAAAUUAUUUCUUAUUAUUAAUUGAUCCAUUAGAGAAGUGCUGUUCACAGUUACAAUAGUAAUAAUGUAUUGGGUGAUUAUUGUUUGUGGAUAAGUGAACUGAGUAACAAUAAAGUCAUAAGGUAUGGAAGGGAGAAAUUGAUAAUACAUUAUUGCUAGGUAUCUGCACUACCUAUGAAUCAAUAUUUGAAAGCUGAUUUAGAUUAAUUGUAAAUUUGUAUUGCAACUCCAGGGAAACACUAGAAAGAAAAAAUUGCAAGAAAACAGGCAUAAUUCACAUUCUAAGAGAGAAGAAAGAGAAAAUGGAAGCAUAUAAAAUUAAUUAAAGCAGAGAAAACAGAAAAGAGGGGGAAGAAAAGAAGAAACAAGUACAAUGAAUAGAAAGCACAAACAGGGUAGUUAUUAAUCCAACUAUAUCAAUCUUUUUUUUUAUUUUUUUAAGAUUUUAUUUAUUUAUUUAUUUGAGAGAGAGACGAAGAGAGUGAGAGAGAAAGAACACAAGGCAGAGGCUUAACCGAAUGAGCCACCCAAGUGCCCCUCAAAACUUAUUUUAAAUGUGAAUGAUCUAAAUAUAGCAAUCAAAGACAAAGAGUGUCACAGUAGAUAAAAUAACAAUACCAAAUAUGUGUUACUUACUAGAAACCUACUUUAAAUGUAAAGGCAUAGAUAGGCUAAGCUUAAAGGGAUAGAGAAAUAUAUAACAUGCUAAUGCUAAUCAAAAUAAAGAUGGUGUAGCUAUAUUUAUGUCAAACAAAACACUCUUCAGAACAAACAAAAUUAUCAUGGAUAAAGAGAAGCGUUACAUGAUAAAGGGAUUAAUUCUCCAAGAAGACAUAAUAAUCUUUAAUGUGUAUACAUCUAACAACUGAAUAUUAAAAUAUGGGGGCAAAAACUGAUAGAACUGCAAGGAAACAUACAAAUCCUCUACUAUAGUUGGAGACUUCAACAACUCUUUUAGUAUUUGAUAGAUCAAUCAGGCAAAAAAAAUUGCAAGGAUAUAGUUGACCUGAACAGUACCAUCUAUCAGCUUGAUCUAAUUGACAUGUAUAGGAUACUGCAUUCAACAAGAGCAGAGUACACAUUCUAACCAAGCUCACAUGGAACAUUUACCAAGACAAAUCAUAUUCUGGACCAUAAAACACACCUUAACAAAUUUAAAAAAGAAUAGAAAUCAGGGCUCCUGGGUGGCACAGGUGGUUAAGUGUCUGCCUUCGGCUCAGGUCAUGAUCCCAGGGUCCUGGGAUCGAGUCCCGCAUUGGGCUCCCUGCUCCUUGGGAUCCUGCUUCUCCCUCUGCCUCUCUCUCUCUCUGCCUCUCUCUCUCUCUCUCAUGAAUAAAUAAAUAAAAUCUUUAAAAAGAAAAAUAGAAUAGAAAUCAUACAAAGUGUAUUCACAGUCCACAAUGGAAUUAAGCUACAAAUCAAGGGGCACCUGCGUGAUUCAGUUGGUUAAGCAGCUGAAUCUUGAUUUCAGCUCAGGUUAUGAUCUCAGGGUGGUGAGAUCAAGCCCCAGGUCAGGCUCUGCACUCUGCCUGCUUAAGACUCUCUCUCUCUCUUAAAAAAAAAUAAAAAUAAAUAAUAAAUAGAUAAAAUAAACUACAAAUCGGUAACAGCUAGAAAAUCUCAAAAUAUAUGGAGAUUAAGUAACACACUAAUAAAUAACACAUUGCCAAAGAACAAGUGUUAAAAUAAAUUUAAAAUAUUGUGAACUGAAAAAAAAAAUGAAAAUUUAAGUUAUCAAAAUUUGUAGGAUUCAGAGAAAGCAGUGCUUAGAAGUUAAUUUAGAACAUUAGAUGCAUAUAUUAGAAAAGAAAUAGAUCUAAAACCAGUCAUCUAAGUUUCCACUUUAGGAGGCUAGAGAAAAAAGAGCAAUUUAAUUAAAAGCAAUCAGAAGAAAGGAAAUAAUAAAAAUUAGAGCGGAGAGCAAUGAAAUUGAACACAGGAAAUAAAACCAAAAGUUAAUUCUUUGAAAAGAUUAGUAAAAUUGAUUAAGCUCUAGCCAGGCUAACCAAGAAAAGAACAGAGAAGACAUAAAUUACUAAUAGAAAUUGAAGGGGACUCUCACUGCUAUUCCCAUAGACAUUAAAAGAAUAAUUAAGGAAAAUUGUGAACUCCAUGCCCACAAAUUUGAUAAUCUAGAUGAAAUGGACCAAAACUCACUCGAGGAGAAAUAGAUCAUAUGAGUAGGCCUAUAUCUACUAGAGAAAUUGAAUCGAUUAUAAGUAACCUUCCAAAUCAGAAAGCACCAGGCCCAUAUGGUUUCACUGGUGAAUUCUACCAAACAUUUAAGGAAGAAAUGAUACCAAGUCUCCACAAUCUUUUUCAGAAUAUAGUAGCAGAGGGAACAUCUCCUAACUGAUUCUAUGAAGCCAACAUUACCAUAAUAUCAAAACUAGAGAAAGACAUUACAAGAAAGGAAACCUACAUACAUAUAUCUCUCAUGAAUAUAGUUGCAAAAAUCCUCAAAAAUAUUAGCAAAAUGGGGAUGAGUUAAGAUGGCAGAAUAGUACUAAGACCCUGAGCUUGCCUGUCCCUUGAACACAGCUGGAUCAACAUUGAACUAUUUUGAACAACUAGGAAUAGGAGCUGAGGAUUAAGAAAACAAUCUGCACAGUUGGAGGGAAAGAACGUGGCAGAUGCAAGGUUUGGAGCUGUGAAUUGUGGGAGAGGAAAGCUGUGGGGCCACAAAAGGGAGGGAACCCUUUUUGUGGAACAAAGUCAUGGAGCAGGAAAGAGCAGGAGAGAGCACAGUGGUUAGGUUGCUUAACAUCAGGGACAGAGGUGUGUGCAGAGGGCAGAUAACCUUGUAGCAGCUUUUCACUGUGAGUCACAUUAGACCUAAACCACCAUGUGCUUGCCGAAUGGCUGUUUUUCUGGGACAGGUCUGGGGAGAGAGCAGAGACAGGUGCAAAUUGCAGAGAACCUGGCUACUGCUUUUCGCUGUCUGCCACAAUACAUUCAAGCCCCUUUGUGUGGCUGCUUUUCUGGGACAGAAUGGAGUAGGGGACUAAGUCUCAUGCAGAUGGCAGAUAACCUGGUUGCAGCUUUUUGCUGUGCAUCACAAUAAACUUUAGCCUCUGUGUGCACACUGUGCAACUGCUUUUCUGGGACAGGAUGGUGCUGGGUGCACCACAAAUCUCUCCUCUGAGAGGAGAUAAAAUACAGGAGAUCUGUGGUGCUGAGCAUGUGGAUAGCCUGGGCACAGACAGGUUAAGGGCAGGGAACUAACAAAAUCCCGGGACUCAGUUCCCUUUUCUGUGAGGGCCUCCAAACAGUGGUGGCCAGGAAUUCCCCUCCCCAGGGAUAAGAGAGCAGGUAAUGCCAUCUUCCUCCUCCAUCCCCACACCCUCCAACACCCACCAGCACAGUCAGACUUCAGAGAGAGACACAGUGGAGGCCAGAGUCCCCUACACUAAACCUCAUGCCCCCUGCACCUGGAAAGGACAUCUAUACAAGGACAAGUCAGCUUGUGAGCCAGCCCAGCAGGCCUCUCCUUCAGAAGACCAACACAGGCCCCCCACAUGUACCAAGUCUACUGCUUAAAGAUUGCUCUAAAAUGUCAGUUUCUGUGGAAGUAAGACCAGGCUUACUUUUUUCUUUUUUUUUCUUCUUAACAUUUUAAAUGUUUUAUUUUUCUAUUUCUUCUUUGUUAUCUUUUUUUUUAAAGAUUUUAUUUGACAGAGAAAGAUACAGCAAAAGAGGAACACAAGCAGGGGCAGAGGGAGAGGAAGAAGCAGGCUCCCUGCUAAGCAGGGAGCCUGAUGUGGGGCUUGAUCCCAGGACCUUGAGAUCAUGACCUGAGCCGAAGGCAGACGCUUAACAACCGAGCCACCCAGGCACCCCUAUUUUUUUAUCUUUUAUUUUAUAUUUUUUCUUUUCUUUUUAUCUUUAUCUUUUUUUUUUUUUUUUUUUUUUUGUAUCAGGCUUAUAAUUUUUUGUUCAUUUGUUGGUUGGUUGGUUGGUUUCUUUUUCUUGUUUUUCAGAUCAGGCUUCUUAUUUCUUUUUCUCUUCUUUCCUUACUCUUUUUUCCUUCUUUCUGUCUUAUUCUUUGGAGUCAGUCUUAUGGUUUUUUGUUUGUCCUUUUGUUUGCAAUUUUGUUCCUUUUCCUUUUGUCUUGGAUCAGGUUUUUUUGUUGUUGUUUUCUUUUCUUUUCUUUUCCAGGUUUAUCUUAACAAACAAGUCAAAGCACACCUAGUUAAAAGUCCAGACACUCCCCACUGCAAGCGAGGAGGAACUCUGUAAAGGAUGGAACAGUGGGGAAAAGCAGCCAAAACGCAAUAGCAGAGUGUAUACAGCACACACCAGAAACACUUCCUGAAGUUUUAUUGAUGUUGUUGUUGUUUUCUUUUUCUUUCUUCCUUUCUUUUCUGGACAAAAUGACGAGAUGGAAAAAUUCACCCCAAAAGAAAGAACAGGAGGUAGCAUUCACAACUAGGGAUUUAAUCAAUAUGGAUAUAAGUCAGAUGUCUGAACUAGAAUUUAAAACAAUGAUUAUAAAGAUACUAGCUAGGCUUGAAAAAAGUAUAGAAGACACUAGAGAAUCCCUUAUUAUGGAGAUAAAAGAACUAAAAUCUAGUCAGGCUGAAAUUUAAAAUGCUAAAACCGAGAUGCAGUCCCAAGUGGAAGCCAUAAAAACAAGGAUGAACAAAACAGAAGAGUGAAUAAAUGAUAUAGAAAAUAAAAUUAUGGAAAAUAAUGAAGCUGAAAAGAAGAAGGAAAGAAAAUUAUUAGAUCAUGAAGGUAGAUUUAGGGAACUCAGUAAUUCCAUAAGGCAAAAAAAAAAAAAAUCCGUAUUAUAGGAGUCCCAGAAGAAGAAGAGCAGGAAAAGGGGGCAGAAGGUUAUUUGAACAAAUUAUAACUAAGAACUUACCUAAUCUGGGGAAGGAAACAGGUCUUCAAGUCCAAGAGGCACAGAGAACUCUCCUCAAAAUCAACAAAAAUAGAUCAACACCUAACAUAUUAUAGUGAAACUUGCAAAUUACAAAGAUAAAGAGAAAAUCCUGAAAGCAGCUUGAGACAAGAGGUCCUUAACCUACAAGGGUAGAUACAUAAGGCUGGCAGCAGACCUGUCCACAGAAACCUGGCAGGCCAAAAAGGACUGGCAUGAUAUAUUCAACAUGCUAAAUGGAAAAAAGUAUGCAGCCAAGAAAACCUUAUCCAGCAAGGCUGUCAUUCAGAAUAGGAAGAGAGACAAAGAUUUUCCAAGACAAACAAAAACUAAAGGAAUUCAUGAACACUAAACCAGCUCUGCAAGAAAUAUUAAAGGGAACGUUUUGAGCAGAGAGAGAGAGACCAAAAGUAACAAAGAACAGACAAUAUCUACAGGAACAGCGACUUUACAAGUAAUACGAUAGCAUUAAAUUCAUAUCUUUCAAUAAUUACUCUGAAUGUAAAUGGACUAAAUGCUCCAAUCAAAAGAUAUAGGAUAUCAGAAUGGAUUAAAAAAAAGAAGACCCAUCAAUAUGCUGCUUACAAGAGACUCAUUUUAGACCCAAAGACACCCCUAGAUUGAAAGUGAGGGGGUGGAGAACAAUUUAUCAUGCUAAUGGACAUAAAAGAAAGCUGGAGUAGCCAGCAUUAUAACAAAGUAGAUUUUAAACGAAAGACUAUAAUAAGAGAUGAAGAAGGACACUAUAUCAUAAUGAAGAGGUAUUAUUCAACAAGAAGAUCUAACAAUUGUAGAUAUUUAUGCCCAUAAUUUGGGAGCAGCUAAAUAUAAAAAUCAAUUAAUAAUAAAAUUAAAGAAACUCAUUAAUAGUAGGGAAAUUUAACACCCCACUCACAGCAAUGGACAGACCAUCUAAGCAGAAGAUCAAGGAAACAAGGGCUUUGAAUGAUACACUGGACCAGAUGGACUUAACAGAUAUAUUCAGAACAUUUCAUCCUAAAGUAACAGAAUACACAUUCUUUUAGAGUACAUAUAGAACAUUCUCCAGAGUAGAUCACAUACUGGGUCACAAAUCAGGCCUCAACUGGUACAAAAAGAUUGAGAUCAUACCAUGCAUAUUUUCAGACCACAAUGCUAUGAAACUUGAAGUCAACCAUAAGGAAAAAUUUAGAAGGACCACAAAUACAUGGAGGUUAAAGAACAUCCUACUAAAGAAUGAAUGGGUCAAUCAGGAAAUUAAAGAAGAAUUAAAAAAUACAUGGAAGCAAAUGAAAAUGAAAACACAACAGUUCAAAACCUUUGGGAUGCAGCAAAGGCAGUCCUAAGAGGGCAGUAUAUAGCAAUACAGGCCUUCCUCAAGAAGCAAGAAAAGUCUCAAAUACGCAAUGUUACCUUACAUCUAAAAGAGCUGGAAAAUAAGAGCAAACAAAGCCUAAACCCAGCAGGAGAAGGGAAAUAAUAAAGAUUAGAGCAGAAAUCAAUAAUAUAGAAACUUAAAAAAAAAAAAAACAGUAGAAGAGAUCACUAGGAGCUGGUUUUUUGAAAGAAUUAGCAGAAUUGAUAAACCCCUAGUCAGACUUAUCAAAAAGAAAAGAGAGAAGACCCAAAUAAAUAAAAUCAUGAAUGAAAGAGGAGAGAUCACAACCAACACCACAGAAAUACAAUUAUAAGAGAAUAUUAUGGGUGAUUAUAUGCAACAAAUUAGGCAAUGUGAAGAAGUGGAUAAAUUCCUAGAAACAUAAUAACUACAAAAACUGAAACAGGAAGAAAUAGAAAACCUGAACAGACCCAUAACCAGCAAAGAAAUUGAAUCAGAAAUCAAAAAUCUCCCAAUGAAGAAUAAUCCAAGGCCACAUGUCUUCCCAGGGGAAUUCUACCAAACAUUUAAAGAAGAAUUAAUACCUAUUCUUCUGAAACUGUUCCAAAAAAAUGGAAAUGGAAGGAAAACUUUCAAACUCAUUCUAUGAGGCCAGCAAAAACAUUUGGAUUUUGAUCCCAAAACCAGACAAAGACCCCACUAAAAAGGAGAAUUAAGGACCAAUAUCCCUGAUAAACCUGGAAGCAAAAAUCUCACCAAGAUACUAGCUAAUAGGAUCCAACAGUACUUUAAAAGGAUUAUUCACAACAACGUGGGAUUUAUUUCUGGGCUUCAGGGGUGGUUCAACAUCCACAAAUCAAUCAACUGAUACACCACAUUAAUAAAAGAAAGGAUAAGAACCAUAUCAUCCUCUCAAUAGGUGCAAAAAAAGCAUUUGACACAAUACAGCAUCCUGUCUUGAUAAAAACCCUCCACCAUGUAGGGAUAGAGGGAAUAUACCUUAACAUCAUAAAAGCCAUAUAUGAAAGACCCACAGCAAAUAUCAUCCUCAAGGGGAAAAAACUAAGAGCUUUUUCCGUAAGGUCAGGAACACGACAGGGAUAUCCACUCUAACCACUGUUGUUCAACAUAGUACUGGAAGUCCUAGCCUCAGCAAUCAGACAACAAAAAGAAAUAAAAAGCAUCCAAACUGGCAAAGAAGAAAUCAAACUUUCAUUCUUCACAAACAACAUGAUACUCUAUGUAGAAAACCCAAAAGACUCCACCAAAAAAUUGCUAGAACUCAUACAGGGAUUCAGCAAAGUGGCAGGAUAGAAAAUCAAUGCACAGAAGUCUAUUGCAUUUCUAUACAAUAACAAUGAAGUAGCAGAAAGAGAAAUCAAGGAAUCAAUCCCAUUUACAGUUGCACCAAAACCUGUAAGAUACCUAGGAAUAAACCUAACCAAAGAGGUAAAAGAUCUGUACUCUGAAAACUAUAGAACAUUUAUGAAAGAAAUUGAGGAUGACACAAAUAAAUGGAAAAACAUUCCAUGCCCAUGGAUUGGAAGAACAAAUAUUGUUAAAAUGUCUAUACUAUCCAAAGCAAUCUACACAUUCAAUGUAAUCCAUAUUGAAAUACCACCAGCAUUUUUCACAGAGCUGGACCAAAUAAUCCUAAAAUUUGUAUGGAACCAGAAAAGACCCCAAAUACCAAAGGAAUGUUGAAAAGGAAAACCAAAGCUGGAGGGAUCACAAUUCCAAACUUCAAGCUGUAUCACAAAGCUGUAAUCAAGACAGUAUGGUACUGGCACAAAAACAGAUAGAUCCAUAGAUCAAUGGAACAGAAUAGAGAACCCAAAAAUGGACCCUCAACUCUAUGGUCAACUAAUCUUUGACAAAGCAGGAAAGAAUAUCCAAUGGAAAAAAGUCUCUUAAACAAAUGGUGUUGGGAAAAUUGGACAGCCACAAGCAGAUGAAUGAAACUGGACCACUUUCUUACACCAUACACAAAAAUAGACUCAAAACGGAUGAAAGACCCAAAUGUGAGACAGGAAUCCAUCAAAAUUCUAGAGGAGAACACAGGCAGCAACCUCUGACCUCAGCUGCAGCAACUUCUUGCUAGACAUGUCUCCAGAGCCAAGGGAAACAAAAGUAAAAAUGAACUAUUGGUACUUCAUCAAGAUAAAAAACUUUUGCACAGCAAAGGAAACAAUCAACAAAACUAAAAGGUAACCUACAGAAUGGGAGAAGAUAUUUUCAAAUGACCUAUCAGAUAAAGGGCUAGUGUCCAAAUCUAUAAAGAACUUAUCAAACUCAACACCCAAAAAACAAAAAAUCCGAUCAAGAAAUAGGCAGAAGACAUGAACAGACAUUUCUCCAAAGAACACACACAGAUGGCCAACAGACACAUGAAAAAAAUGCUCAACAUCAUUCAGCAUCAGGGAAAUACAAAUCAAAACCACAAUGAGAUAACCCCUCACACCAGUCAGAAGGGCUAAAAAUUAACAAUUCACGAAACAAUAGAUGUUGGUAAGGAUGUGGAGAAAGGAGAACACACUUACACUGUUGGUGGGAAUGCAAACUGGUGCAGCCACUCUGGAAAACAGUAUGGAGGUUCUCAGAAAGUUAAAAAAUACAACUACCCCACAACCCAGCAAUUACACUAUUAGGUAUUUAUCCAAAGGAUACAAAAAUAGUGAUUCAAAGGGGCACAUGAACCCCAAUGUUUAUAGCAGCAAUGUCCACAAUAGCCAAACUAUGGAAAGAGUCCAGAUGUUCAUUGACAGUUGAAUGGAUAAAGAAGAUGUGGUAAGAAGAUGUGGUAUAUUACUUAUGUGGAAUAUUACUUAUCCAUCAAAAAGAAUGAAAUCUUGCCAUUUGCAAUGACAUGGAUGGAACUAGAGGGUAGGAUACUUAGUGAGAUAAGUCAGUCAGAGAAAGACAAAUACCAUAUGAUUUCAUUCAUAUGUGGAAUUUAAGAAACAAAAAGAUGAAUAUAGGGGAAGGGAAGGAAAAAUAAAAUAAGAUAAAAACAAAGAGGGAUACAAACCAUUAGAGACUCUUAACUAUAGGAAACAAACAGGGUUGCUGGAAGGGAGGUGGGGGGGAUGUCAUAACUGGGUGAUGGGCAUUAAAGAGGGCACUUGAUGUAAUGAGCACUGGGUGUUAUAUGCAACCAAUGAAUCACUAAAUUCUAUCCCUGAAACUAAUAAUACACUAUAUGUUAACUAAAUUGAAUUUGAAUAAAAAAUUCAAAAAAGAAAAUGAAAUAUAAAGUGGCAACCCCCCCCAAAAAAAAUAUUAGCAAGUCCAACCCAACAAUGUAUAAAAAAAAUUAUUCACCAAGACCAAGUGGAAUUUUUUCUAGGUAUGCAAAGCCAGUCAACAUUCAAAAAUCAAUUAGUAUAACCCACCACAUCAAUAGGCUGAAGAGGAAAAAUAAUAUGACCAUAUUAAUAGAUGCAGAAAAGUAAUUUGACAAAGUCCAACACCCAUUCAUGAUUUUUAAAAAAAGAAAACUUGGGGCACUUGGGUGGCUCAGUCAGUUAAGUGUCUGCCUUUGGCUGAGGUCAUGAUCCCAGGAUUCUGGGAUCAAGCCCCGCAUCAGGCUCCUUGCUCAGCGGGGAGCCUGCUUCUCCCUCUCCCUCUGCUCCCUCUCCUCUCACGCAUGCUCUCUUUCUCCCAAAUAAAUAAAUAAAAUCUUAAAAAAAAAAAAAAGACUCAGCAAAGUAUGAAUAGAGAAGAACUUCCUCAAAUUAGUAAAGAACAUCUAUUUAAAAAAAACUACAGCUAACAUCAUACUUAGUGGUAAAAAACUGGAUGCUUUAUCCUUAAGACUGAGAACAAAGCAAGGAUGUCCUCUAUCACCAUUGGUAUUCAAUAUCGUAUGGGAAGUCCUAGCCAAUGCAAUAAGACCAAGAAAGAAAAGUAAAAGUUAUAUACAGAUUAAGAGGAAAGAAUAAAACUAUCUUUGUUCACAGAUCACACAAUUAUCUAUGUAGACAAUUCCAAAGAAUUAACAAAAAAAACCUCCUGGACUAAUUAGUCACUGGAUACAGGUUCAUAUACAAAAAUGAAUUGAUUUCUUACAUACGAGCAAUGGACAAGGAGUACCUGAAUGGAAAACAGUACCAUUUACAAUGCCACAAAAAAAUGAAAUACUUAGAUAUAAAUCUAACAAAUGUGUACAAGAUACAUAUGCAAAAACUAUAGAACUCUGAUGAAAGAAAUAAGAUGUAAAUAAGUGGAGAGAGAGUCUAUCUAUAUUCAUGGAUUGAGAAACCCAAUAUUGUUAAGAUGUUAAUUCUUACCAGCUUUAUCUACAGAUUCAACACAAGUCCAAUCAAAAUCCCAGCAAGUUAUUUUGUGGAUCUUAACAAACCAAUUCUAAAGUUUAUGUUGAAAGGCAAAGGACACAGAAUAGCCAACUCAAUGCUGAAGAAAAAGAAAAUUGGAGAACUGAUACUAUCUGACAUCAAGACUUACUAUAAAGCUACAGUAAUCAAGGUGAUGUGGUCUUGGCGAAAGAAUAGGCACAAAGGUCAAUAGAACAGAAUAAAGAGCCCAGAAAUGGAUCCACAUAAACAUAGUCUACUGAUAUUUGACAAAGGAGGAAAGGCAAUUCAAUGAAUAAAGGAUAACUUUUCAAAAAUGGUACUGGAACAAUUGAAAGUCCAUAUGAAAAAACAGUCAGUCUGAAUACAAACCUUACACUUUUCCCAAAAAUUAACUCAAAAUGUGUCAUAACCCUGUCAAGCUCAAUGCUAUAAACUUCCAGAAGAAAACAAGGAAUUUGGGUUUGGUGGAGUUUUUAGAUACAAACUAAAAGCAUAAUAAAAGUAAAUACAAAAAACCGAUUUAGCCCACCCAAAUAUAAUCUUAAUAUAUUUGGUGGAUAAAAGAUAAGAAAAAAGGAGAGGAGGAGUUGUAAGAUGGCUGAACCCAUAUCUUUCAUGCUAGGAAUCAGAAGAUACUAUCUAAAGUUGAUAAAUCAAGAAUAUUGGCAAUAUAUAGCUAUUUUUAAGAAAUAUAGAUAUAAAAACUAAAGAAACUGCUGAAAUUGUUGAAUAUGGCUUCCUCUGGGGAUCUGGACAGGGUAUAGGAAAGAGACUAAGGGCUACCUAGAGUUGGCUAUGGCAGUGACUUUCUGCCUUUUAAUAUAAACUUUCUAGAGCUUUUGAUGUUUUAAUUUUGAUAGAAAUUAAAAUGAAGUUGAAAAAUGAACACUACAACUCAGCUUGAAAAAAUAAUAGCUGACCCUCCCACCCCUCCCUUGCACUAGCGAGGGCAUAAUACUACGAUGUCAUCUAAUGUCUGUAUUUCUGUUAUACAGGAAACCCUGUCACAAGGGCAGGACCACAUCUACUUUACAUACUGCUAUAUUUAUGUGUCUGACACAUUCCAGACACUAGUUCAUAUUUAUUGAAUGAAAAAAGAAACAUUUAACAGUUAUGGAAGAAGCACAUAGAGGACAGAUGUGACAAAUAAUACAGAGAUGGCCUUACUGCAAUUUGAGACUGGGCAUUGGCCCAAAGCAAGAGCUCAAGAGAUGUCUAGAAAUUUACUAUUUAAUAAAGAAGGUUGGCAAUUAGAAAGAGAGAGAGAGAUUGGUAGUUCCAGAAAGUGGCAGGAUCAAGGAAGAUGUAAUCAUGGCAGGGGUAAUGAGAACACUGCAGUCCUAAAAAUAACAAUCUACUAGAGGGAGAAGCACAGAAUGUGCUAGAGAGACACUAGAGAUCAUUUCUGUAAAAUAUGGAAAAUUAUGAUUUUCCAAUGUGGGAUUUUCCCCUUCCAGAGCUAGCAGUUUAAGUGCAUGGGUUUCUCACUACCACAGCCAACUCUGAUGAUUGCUCAGGUCGUAAGAGUCCCUUGCUGACCACACUCCCCACCUCUUUCUAGAAAGAACACAUGUUUCCUACAAUGUUCAAUGUGUUAACUUGAUGUUUGGCAUCUAUAUACUUUAAGAAGGUCCAAAUGAUUGAAGUGAAGCAAAAUCAGUCAUGAAUUUUAUUAAGGGAAAUUUGAAUUGAGUUCUCUGAGGAAACAUCACCAUAAGACCAGGUAGGCUAUAGAAAGCAGGACUCAAAGGAAGCAAAUAAUUUGGAACCAGUUUUUAGACCUGUGCCAGGAAAUGUGUUGGGAGAAAAUAUUGUGAAGUAGAUUAUUGGCCUGCCUGUGUGGAUAAAUUACUCUGAUAUUUGUGAUUUAGAAUCAGGAAGAAAGCACAUUUCCUUAUUACCUCAUUACAGGAAUUCAUUCUGGGAGGCAUGCACAAUUUGCCUUUUCUCCAAGGAUGGGUGGAGGGACUUGUAACCUUGAAAAUAUCUUUGUCUGUGAGAAGUAGAGAAAAAGUAUAUAUUUCUGCAUAAGGAGAAGCAGUGGGAAGAUUUUGUUUGUUUUGUUUGCUUGCUUUUUAUCUAACCUAAGUUGACUGUGCUAAUAACUGCACGUUAUCUGAUGAGUGUAUCUCUAAGAUAGGCAGUAUUCUUUAUACCCCUUUAGCAGAGAGAAACUGAGGCUUCUAAAGUUAAAUAAUAUUCAAGGUGACCUAACCACUAUGUGGAUAAGCUGGAAGUAGAUCCAAAGUAUGGAUGGUACAGCUGCUAGACAGGACCAGCUCCGUAAUUUGUGGGGCACAGUGCAAAAUAAAAAUUUGGAGGCCCUGGUUCAAAAAUGAUUAGAAUUUUAAGAUAGCGAAGCAGAGCAUUAAACCAAAUGUAGGGCCCUUCUGAGCCCAGGGCCACAUGUGACUGCAUAAGGUGCACACUCAUAAAGCUGGCCUCAUGUCUAGCUACCUCCCAUGUAUGUCAAUUUGGGCUAGCUCCAAUGAGAAAAUUGGAAAGACACUGAUAAAUUGUCAAUUAUGAUUAUACCUUAAAAGAUUAACUUGAAGAAGACUCUAUUAAACCCACAGUAAAUGAAGAGUUACAUAAUUAUAUCUGUAACUUCUGAAAUUAUCUCUGUAACUGAGCUAGAGGAUAUUUCAACACUGCUUCAGAUGGGAUCCCUCCAUGUGGUAUUUGCCUAUGAAUUGAUGCAUUAAUUCUCUAGCACUACUGUACACAUCACCAUAGAGAACUUUUUGAGACCUGUUUCCAGAGCCAUGUUCCCACCUAGGCAGAUAUCUUUUGUCAUAUUCCCUGGGGCCCACGGCCAUUACAGUGGGAACGUUGGCAGCCCUCUGCACCAUGAUCUCCUCAAUGGCAUGCCUUUGCAUCCCUACUGCUGCUUACUACACCUGGCACACAGAAGGGAUUCAAGAAGUGUUUGUUGAAUAAAUGAAUGAGUACACAAACUCCAGAAAACUCCAGCAGAAUUCUAGAUUCUCAAAAAUGUAGCAAGAACCAAUCUCCUUGCAAUCAAUAGUCAGGAGAUGGUCCAAGGGGCCUUUAUAUUGCCCUAUAUUGAGACAAUUAGAUCUAAAAAGAGGGCCACUUCUAAAGUCAGCAUUUUGAACCAGAAGUUAAAACUGCCCUUGGGAAGUCCUUCAGAAGCAUCAGGUUGGAAGUACCAUGCGAGACACACAGAGCUGAUGCAAUGCACAUUCUUUAUCUUGCCCCACCCUGGGGCACAUGCUCACUGCCUGCCAAGCAGCAUAGUGAAUUUAAGUAGGCUAAAGGCACAUAUCAUGUGACUCUUUCUUAAGGGGUAAGUCAAUGCCUUUUCUGAAGGAAGUGUUUAUUAUUUUAUCCUUGCAGUGGUUUUCUCCCCUCUCAGGAAGUUGCAAAAUCUGACCCUUGAGUUUUAUAAGAGAUUCAAUCUUGUGUUAAACUUCACCGAAACUGAUUUAUCUUACAUUUUGCAACAUUUCUAUAUCUGACACAUUUUCUAUAACUUUUACAGUCAGUGUGGAAAAAAAGAAAAAAUUUACACAGAGAUUUCAUACUUGGAUCACUUUUUGAUUCUGAACACAUUAAAAGCUGUCCAGAGCCCUGUUCCCAUCCAUCACUCUCUAUUCUUCAGAGCUCUGGAGGAGGCCAGCCUAUUUGCUGAGAGCCAGACUGCUGAGAUGUGUAUUCCUGCUUCUCCACUUACUGAACCUCUCAGGGCUUUAGUGUCCUCAUCUGCAAAAUGGUAAUAAUAUAACACCUUCCCCAAAGAGUCGCUCAUGUAGAACAUUUAGUACAGUGCCUGUCAUUGAGAAUUCAAUGACGUUAGCCAUUAGCUGGUAUUGCAUGAGUCUGUGUCCUAUGUGUCUUCUGAGCAAUAGCCCAGCUGUUGAAUAGCCUAGCUCCUUAUCUAAAUGUGAAUAACAAAAGAAAUUUUUAAAUCCUUUUAAAAAUAAACUAAUCUUAAGAAUUGGAAGAUCAUCAGUGGUAAGAUAGAUAGGUACAUGUGUCUAUCCAGGAUAAAUAAGGGUGACAGCAGCAGAAAAGGGAAAAUGAUAUGUCUUCCUCCCUACAUCUCCGCAAGGGCUCCAGUGAUCACUACAACUCAUGAUUUAUGUGAUGGGAUGAAAUUUGGCUAGGUGGCAUAAGAGCUACUGAGUUUAACAAGGGCAAUUUUUCUUUACUAUUUGUCAUGUGUACCCAGUCAAAAUCCAAAAGAGAUUUGAAUGAGACACAUACCACUUGGCAUCUGAAAAUUUUCUUGCUUCUACUCUAUAGUAGGAAAGUCAGUUUUCUAAUUAUUCUCAAUUCUCAAAUAUACCGUGCUACUAGAUGUUGUCUAGUCUAUCCUUUUCCCACUUGUCCCCUGCCUGCAAGACACUAUAUUUCUCUGUCCUCCUUCCCUGUCAAUAGCUUUUUUUUUUUUUUUUGGUCUGCUUCUUAGCCUCAUUCUCCUCAAACUAUCCCUUAGAUCUUGAUCUUUUCUGGGUCUCUCUCAUGGACCCCUCAUGCCUUAUACUCUACCUGGGUGAUCUCAAUUUGUUCUGAUGGCUCCAACCAUCUUUUGGACAAUGAACCCUAUAUCUGUAUUGCCACAUCAGUCCUUUCUCUACAGUCCAAACCCAUGUAAUUGCCUUCAGGAAACCUCCCCUUGGAUCUCUUACAGACACUGCAAAUUCAACAAGUCCAAACAACUCGUCAUCCCCUCAAACGGGCUCCCUUAUGGCAUUCCCUAUCUCAGGAAAUGGCAGCACUCUCCACCCAGUUAAUCAAGCCAGGAAUCUAUGAUUCAUCCUUAACUCAUCUCAGUUCCCUCACUGCCUAAAUCCAAUCAAUCACCAAGUUCUCUUAAUUCUAUUUUCUAAAUCAGUUUCUUUCAAAUUUAUUUUACUGUCAGUGAAAGAAACAUCUCUUGCAUCAUGCCAGCAUGUAUGUGCAUGCACACACACACACACACACACAAGUGAAACACAAGUUUCACAAAGCAAUUUUUAUCAUCAUUUUAUGCAAAGUUUUCUGAUAUUUUCUAUUGUGUUUUCUGCUGGUGUUGCUUUUUAAAAUGCUAGUAGCCAAUGGAUUACUGGCAAAUGUUUAACAACCAGCUCUUCUGGAAGUGAAGAAGGGGGAAUCUGAUGUGUAGCAUUUGAGUCUUUGAUGUAAAUACACCCACCAUGGGUGAAUUUAAGCUACCAACCAAAGAGCUUGCAAACAUCCCAAAGAUCCAACAAUCAGCUCUCUUGACCAUCUCCAGCAUGCCACUGCUUAUGACCUACAGUUUGAUAGAUGCUGGUCUAAAUAUUUCUUAAAUCUACCCACUAAUUUUCAUUCCCAGUGCUACCAUUCCAAUCUUAGCUACCACCAUUUCUGAUAUAAUUGGUUUCCAGGUCAACUGAUCAGUUUCACAUUUGUUUAAAGCCGUUCAAAGACUUCCUGUUGUCCACAGGAGAAUACAGUCUAUAAUUCUUACCAUGGCUUAAAAAGCCACCUACAGUUUGGCAUCUGCCUGCCACCGCCCCCCCCCCAUACCCUCUCUCCAUUGAUCUCAAUCUCAAAAAAAUGUUUUCUUCUUGAACAUCUGGGAGCUCUCCCUUGUUUUCAGGUCUUUGGACAUGAUAUUCUAUUUGGCUAGAAAGUUCUUGCCUCCCAUCUCUGUUCAGCUAACUCUUACUUCUCCUUCCUAUCACAGCUUAAAUGCUACUUAUUCAUUCUUUCAUUCAUUCUCCUACUAUGUGACAGAUAAACUAAAUGCUGGUGAUAUCAUGAGAAGUAAAAAUAGGGGCGUCUGGGUGGCUCAGUCGGUUAAGCAUCUGGCUCUUGAUUUUGGUUCAGGUCACAGUCUCAGUGUUGUGAAAUCAAGCCCCACAUCAGGCUCCACACAGCAUGGAGCCUGCUUAAGAUUCUCUCUCUCUGGGGCGCCUGGGUGGCUCAGUCGUUAAGCGUCUGCCUUCGGCUCAGGUCAUGAUCCCAGGGUCCUGGGUUUGAGCCCUGCAUCGGGCUCCCUGCUCAGCAGAAAGCCUGUUUCUUCCUCUCCCACUCCCCCUGCUUGUGUUCCCUCUCUCGCUGGGUCUCUCUCUGUCAAAUAAAUAAAAUCUUAAAAAAAAAAAAAAAAAGAUUCUCUCUCUCCCUCUGCCCCUCCUUGACCUCCCUCUCUAAAAAGUAAAAAUUAAAAUUAAAAAAGGAAGUAAAAACAGCCCCUCACCUCACAGAAUUUAGAUACUCUAGUACUCUAGAUGAGAAGAAAACAUAUUCAACUAAAGAUAUUAUUCAAAUUUAAAUGCUAAUAAAAGAAGAGCUUAAAAAAUAGAUUCAUGGCUCUAUGAGAACUUAUAAAAUCUGACCUAACUUAGUAAAUCAAGGAAAAUUUUCCUAAGUGAUGACUGGUAAGUUAUAAUAGUUGAGCUAAGAUAUAAAGGAGAAAUAUAACCUAAUGAGUCUAAGGGAUGGGGAACUAACAGCAUAGGCAGAAAGAGGAACAUGUAAAAAUCUCACAUGGCAGGAAGGAAUAUGGUAAAAUCAAGGAACCAAAUGAAAGCCAGUGUAACAAGAGCCAGAUAUGAGGGGCACCUGAGUGGUUCAGUCGUUAAGCGUCUGCCUUCGGCUCAGGUUGUGAUCCCAGGGUCCUGGGAUCGAGCCCCACAUCAGGAUCCCUGCUCAGUGGGAAGCCUGCUUCUCCCUCUCCCACUCCCCCUGCUUGUGUUCCCUCUCUCGCUGUGUCUCUCUCUGUCAAAAAAAUAAAUAAAAUCUUAAAAAAAAAAAAAAAAAAAA